rnacentral:misc_RNA from 1 species
UGAGGUCACCAUAAAGCUUCUUCAACGAGCAAUAGAGGAAAGUGGCAAUGAAAAAUUUCUUAUUGAUGGGUUCCCUCGUAAUGAGGAAAAUCGUGCUGCAUUUGAAGCUGUUACAGGCAUUGAACCAUCUGUUGUCCUGUUCUUUGAUUGUCCCGAGGAAGAGAUGGAGAGGCGGCUGUUAAGUAGGAAUGAGGGAAGAGUGGACGACAACAUUGAAACAAUUCGGAAGCGAUUUACGGUUUUCUUGGAGUCUAGUAUUCCUGUGGUUGAAUACUAUGAAUCCAAAGGGAAAGUUCGGAAGAUUGAUGCUGCGAGGCCUGUUGGGGAGGUGUUUGAAUCCGUUAAAGCCGUAUUUACUCCAAAAAGUGAAAAGGCUGACUGAAGAUAACUGCUCAGUAGUUUUGCAUUGUUAUCUUCUUUGAGGUAUUGAUAUUG